rnacentral:rRNA from 1 species
UACGGGGGGGGGUAAGCGUUGUUCGGAAUUACUGGGCGUAAAGGGCGCGUAGGCGGCCUUCUAAGUCGAACGUGAAAUCCCCGGGCUCAACCCGGGAACUGCGUCCGAUACUGGAAGGCUUGAAUCCGGGAGAGGGAUGCGGAAUUCCAGGUGUAGCGGUGAAAUGCGUAGAUAUCUGGAGGAACACCGGUGGCGAAGGCGGCAUCCUGGACCGGCAUUGACGCUGAGGCGCGAAAGCCAGGGGAGCAAAGCGGG